UAUUUUUAUUUAAUAUAUAGAUUGGAGACUACGAGCUAUGGCUUAAAAACUAAAGUAAUAUGGCGGUAUUUUAUUUAAUCAGGGUGGCAUGUAAUUUAAUUUGAUAGUCCACGAUUUUAAACCCUAAUUUUGAAUUACAGUAUGUGUACUGCCGUAAGAUGUGAUUUUAUUGAAUUAUGUAAUAUAUAUAUAUAUAUAUAUAUAUAUAUAUUUAUUCAGGUCUAAGUGCAAUUUAUAUUUAGGUAAUAUAUGUGCUACAUUUAUAUAAAUAUUCAGUUAUAAUAUUAAAUGUUAUAUAAGAAGAACUUGAUAGUAAUUAAAUUAAUUAAGUUUAAUGAAUNUAAAUUAAAAUAUGU
rnacentral:rRNA from 1 species